CGGCACCUAUCUUCGGAUGAAGCGAGUGGCGAACGGCUGAGUAACACGUGGAGAACCUGCCCCCUCCCCCGGGAUAGCCGCCCGAAAGGACGGGUAAUACCGGAUACCCCGGGGUGCCGCAUGGCACCCCGGCUAAAGCCCCGACGGGAGGGGAUGGCUCCGCGGCCCAUCAGGUAGACGGCGGGGUGACGGCCCACCGUGCCGACAACGGGUAGCCGGGUUGAGAGACCGACCGGCCAGAUUGGGACUGAGACACGGCCCAG
rnacentral:rRNA from 1 species